rnacentral:tRNA from 1 species
GGAGGGGCUGUGGCUCAGUGGAAGAGCCUCUGCUUCCAAUGCAGAAGGUCUGUUUCAGCCCUCAACCUCUCCA